AAUUUUGGACAAUGGGGGAGACCCUGAUCCAGCCAUCAUGCGUGUAUGAUGAAGGCCUUCGGGUUGUAAAGUACUUUUGGCAGCGCAAAUAAGGUAUCUCCUAAUACGAGAUACUGCUGAUGGUAGCUGCAGAAUAAGCACCGGCGAACUACGUGCCAGCAGCAGCGGGAAUUCGUAGGGUGCUAGCGUUAAUCGUAAUUACUGGGCGUAAAACGUGGCGAGGUGGUUCAGAAAAAAAAGUGUGAAAACCCAGGGCUCAACCUUGGAACUGCCUUUUUAACUGCCGAGCUAGAGUAUGUCAGAGGGGGGUAGCAUUCAACGUGUAGCAGUGAAAUGCGUAGAUAUGUGGAGGAAUACCGAUGGCGAAGGCAGCCCCCUGGGAUAAUACUGACGCUCAGACACGAAAGCGUGGGGAGCGAACA
rnacentral:rRNA from 1 species